GUCCGCAAGGACAAUUUGAUAAUUGACCUCAAAUCACUACGGUCUGACAGAUGAUUUUCA
rnacentral:rRNA from 1 species